AUGGACGUUCCCUAUUGUCAUAAAGUGUCCCAAUUCCGUACCCUUUGCAGAGUUAAGGACUUCAUGCAGGAAGACAAAUAGCCCCUCACAUACUUUCUCCUUCUGUAUUUAUUAACAAAACUACAGGCUGUUUAAACUACUCAGGAUUUAUUUUAAUAUGCUGGUGUAUUAUUUUAAUAAACCAACGGUUAAUCUUACAGAAACAUUUGUUACUUCAAAAACCCUUUAAAUUUUGCUUAAAACACCUAAAUUAAACCUUUCCAAAUAACAAUUUACAAGAUAGUGACAACACCGAAAGUUGAAAAAAAACGUCUUAAAUGGCAAAAUCUUCAGUAGCGCAACUUGGUAAUUUUCUCACUAAAAAACGUUUCAAAAAAAUGCCAAGGAAGAAAUCAGGGCCCCCUUGUGACCAAAUUCUUCCCUACCUUAACGAAGAUGUAAGUCUGACAUGGAAGAAUGUCAUAAUUUGUAUCUUCGAACAUACACUCUAAAUAAUGAGGACAUAAAUCCUCACCCGCGGGGGAACCAUAGUUGUGCAUAAAAUAUUUACGUAAUCCCCCUAAUCUGUUCUUGGCUGCCGCUCCCCGACGUGAAAAACUGUCGCCUCGUCUCCCGAACUUGGAACGUCGCGGCGAAACCGAUCCUUCGGAAGAAGAGUGUUAUCAACCUCGAAUGUUCCUUCGAUAAGGGAGAAAUCGCUCGAAAUGCAAGGAUUCAGAGAGAAAUGGCCUCUUUCGGACAACCCCUCCACCACGUGGACAUACGCAUUUGCGACCUUGGCAAAAUUGACUUCAAGAGUAAAGUUUAUCUCGAUCAGGUCCACCUUUUCACGAAAUAUCUCUCCGUUCAUAAGUUGGCUAUAUCGGUACACAUCAGGGUUUUACUUUACCCACCUUUUGAGCUUAAUCCCCAGCCCAGUGGGUAAAAUGGAAAAAAUGGGGAAAAUGGGUGGGUAGUGGGGAAAAUGGGUAUGAAGGGUUAUACUAAGGUGGUGAGCCACCACCACCAUUGGGGGUAGUUUAUUUUCCUUGUUUUGUU